ensembl:snRNA U6 U6 spliceosomal RNA
UUGCUUGCUUCCACAGCACAUGUACUAAAAUGGGAACAAUAAAGAGAGAUUAGCAUGGCCCCUGCAGAAGAGUGACAUGCAAAUUUGUGAAGCAUUCCAUAUUUUA